rnacentral:rRNA from 1 species
AGAGUUUGAUCCUGGCUCAGGAUGAACGCUAGCGGCAGGCCUAACACAUGCAAGUCGAACGGUAAGGUCUCUUCGGAGAUACACGAGUGGCGCACGGGCGAGUAACGCGUAUGCAACCUACCUUUUACAGGGGUAUAGCUUCCGGAAACGGAAAUUAAUCCCCCAUAGUUCAUGACCACCGCAUGGUGGAUAUGAUAAAGCUCCGGCGGUAAAAGAUGGGCAUGCGUGACAUUAGAUUGUUGGCGGGGUAACGGCCCACCAAGUCUACGAUGUCUAGGGGGUCUGAGAGGAUGGUCCCCCACACUGGUACUGAGACACGGACCAGACUCCUACGGGAGGCAGCAGUGAGGAAUAUUGGUCAAUGGGCGAGAGCCUGAACCAGCCAUGCCGCGUGCAGGAUGACGGCCCUAUGGGUUGUAAACUGCUUUUAUACGGGAAGAAUAGGCCCUACGUGUAGGGAUUUGACGGUACCGUACGAAUAAGCACCGGCUAACUCCGUGCCAGCAGCCGCGGUAAUACGGAGGGUGCAGGCGUUAUCCGGAUUUAUUGGGUUUAAAGGGUGCGUAGGCGGAAAAAUAAGUCAGUGGUGAAAUCCCGUGGCUCAACCACGGAACUGCCAUUGAUACUGUUUUUCUUGAGUAUAGUUGAGGUAGGCGGAAUGUGUCAUGUAGCGGUGAAAUGCUUAGAUAUGACCCAGAACACCGAUUGCGUAGGCAGCUUGCUAAACUAUUACUGACGCUGAUGCACGAAAGCGUGGGUAGCGAACAGGAUUAGAUACCCUGGUAGUCCACGCCGUAAACGAUAUCACUCGCUGUGUGCGAUACAUAGUACGCGGCCGAGCGAAAGCAUUAAGUGAUCCACCUGGGGAGUACGGUCGCAAGAUUGAAACUCAAAGGAAUUGACGGGGGCCCGCACAAGCGGAGGAACAUGUGGUUUAAUUCGAUGAUACGCGAGGAACCUUACCUGGGCUUAAAUGUAGAGUGCUUUUCACCGAAAGGUGAUUUUCCUUCGGGACGCUUUACAAGGUGCUGCAUGGUUGUCGUCAGCUCGUGCCGUGAGGUGUCGGGUUAAGUCCCAUAACGAGCGCAACCCCUACCGUUAGUUGCCAUCGGGUCAUGCCGGGGACUCUAGCGGGACUGCCAGUGUAAACUGUGAGGAAGGUGGGGAUGACGUCAAAUCAGCACGGCCCUUAUGCCCAGGGCUACACACGUGUUACAAUGGCCGGUACAGAGGGCAGCUACCACGCAAGUGGAUGCAAAUCCCCAAAGCCGGUCUCAGUUCGGAUCGGAGUCUGCAACUCGACUCCGUGAAGUUGGAUUCGCUAGUAAUCGUAUAUCAGCAAUGAUACGGUGAAUACGUUCCCGGGCCUUGUACACACCGCCCGUCAAGCCAUGGAAGCUGGGGGUACCUGAAGUCUGUAACCGCAAGGAGCGGCCUAGGGUAAAACUAGUGACUGGGGCUAAGUCGUAACAAGGUA